UUAGCCCUAAACUUAGAUAGUUAACUUAAACAAAAUUAUCCGCCAGAGAACUACUAGCAACAGCUUAAAACUCAAAGGACUUGGCGGUGCUUUAUAUCCCUCUAGAGGAGCCUGUUCUAUAAUCGAUAAACCCCGAUACACCUCACCAUCCCUUGCUAAUUCAGCCUAUAUACCGCCAUCUUCAGCAAACCCUAAAAAGGAAGAAAAGUAAGCACAAGUAUCUUAACACAAAAAAGUUAGGUCAAGGUGUAGCCCAUGAGAUGGGAAGUAAUGGGCUACAUUUUCUAGAACUAGAACACCCACGAAAAUCCUUAUGAAACUAAGUAUUAAAGGAGGAUUUAGUAGUAAAUUGAGAAUAGAGAGCUCAAUUGAAUCGGGCCAUGAAGCACGC
rnacentral:rRNA from 1 species